GGAUGCUGCCUAAACUGCUGUGCUUUUCCAGUACCACCCUAAUCUAAACCCUGAGUUUUUAAAAAGCAUAUUAAGUGAUAAUUAUUGAUAUAACCUCUUCAGGUCUACUUAUUUUUUUAAAAAAGUGUGGAAUUUCAUUCUAUCAAUAGAAAGCUAGUUUUGGAUACUUUCUAAAACUGUUAUUCAGAUUGGUUCUUUUAGCUCUAUGGCAACAUCUAUUUUUCCCAAUCUUUACUACAUAGUCAGAAUUGCAUUUAAAUUAAAUUUCUAUCCCCUGUAUUCGGAAUACUCAUCAAGUGAAAUUCUUCAAUCUUAUUCAAUUGAUUUCUUCUCACUGACAUGUUGCUACAGGUUCCCUGUAGAGGGUGCUAUCCUCUAAAGCCCACAAAAAAUUUACAGGUGGAAAUUGGGUAGGUGGAUGAAAAGCAGUGUUCCUUCAUCAAUCACUACAUAGCCCAGACUGCUAUAUCAGUUUUAUACUUGUCUAUGUAUUUUUCAUUUCAAAUCUAAACCAUCCAGAAUCCAAAAUGGUAAAAUUAUAAACUGACAUUUUAGUUAUAGCCCCUUCACUACGCCACUAUCGUGAAGACGCUCAUGCAUCAAUUUUCCCUACAUAUUUAAAUGGAGAGGGAUGACAUAAUGCUUCAGUACAGAAGGAUCUGGGUACAUAUACAUGAAUCACAAUAAGGUGUACUUUGCUGGAAGUACAACCAAAAAAUUAAGAAUGCAAAUAGAACGUUGCCUCUAUUACAAAGGAGAUGGAGCACACAUGUUAGGAAUUGUACAAAGCAUUGAUAGACAGCAUCAAGAGUACUAUACUGUUUCGGUAUUCUUAUUUAAAGGAGGAUUGCAUUGGAAACCGUUCAAAGAAAAUUCAUCAGCCUGAUCUCUCAGAAGGAACAGUUAUUUCAUAAGGAAAGGUUGAGCAUGUCAUGUUUAUACUCAUAUGGAGUUUUAGAAGAAUGAGGGGUAAACCUGCUGAAGCACAAAAAUCUGAGGGGACGAUGUUUCCGCUCCUGGGGCAUAAUUUAUUUUUUGG